rnacentral:snRNA from 1 species
AGCCUUGUGCAGUGGCAGUAUCAUAGCCAAUGAGGUUUAUCCGAGGUGCAAUUAUUGUUAAUUGAGAAGUCAAAGGCAGAAG